CCCUCCUGGCACAAAAGGGCGUCUUCCCCCUGCCCCUCCUGUCACAAAAGGGCACCUUCCCCCUCCCUCUCCUGGCACAAGUGGCCAUCUUCCCCCUCCUCCUCCUAGCACAAAAGGGCGCCUUCCCCCUCCAGGCACAAAAGGGCGUCUUCCCCCACCCCCUCCUGGCACUAUAGGGUGUCUUCCCCCUCUGUCUCCUGGCACUAAAGGGCGCCUCCCCUCUUCCCCUCCUGGCACUAAAGGGCGCUUUCCCCCUCCCUCUCCUGGCACUAAAGGGCAUCCUCCCUCUCCCCCACUUGACACAAAAGGGCACCUUCCCCUUCCUGUUACAAAAGGGUGCCUUCCACCUCCUCCUGGUACAAAAGGGCACUUUCCACAUUCAACUAAAACAACCGCAACCACACCCACUACUACUGUUACAAAAUCCACUACCAUCUCAGAACCCACCACCACAACAGCAACCAUCACUUCUACAGAGCCCACCACUAUAGCAUUCACCAUUUCCUCUGAACCGACCAACACAACUAUAACCACUUCCACAGAACCCACCACCAUAGUAACAACAAUCACUGAUACAGAAUCUGCCUCCACAGCAACUAUCCCUUCUACUGAAUCUAUUACCAUAACACCAACCAUAACCACUACCACUGAAUCCUACAUCACCUCUACAGAAUCUGUGACAGAAACAAUCACUGCAUCCACAGAGCCCACCAUAAUAGAAACCACCACUCUUUCCACAGGGUCUGCAAGCACAGCAACCACCACUACUUCCACAGAAUUCUCCACGGCAACCUUCAUUACUUAUACAGAGCCCAUCACAAUAGAAACUACCACCACUGCCUCAAAAUUCACCAAUAAAACAGCAACCAUCCCUACCACUGAGCCCAACAGAGCAACCGCCAUCACUUCAAAUGAAUCUGCCACCAUAACAGCAAGCAUCACGACUUCCACAGAACCCAAUAUCACUUCCACAGAAUCCUCCACCACAGCAACCAUCAUCACUACUACAGAACCUACCACAAUAGUAGCCAAUACUGUUUCCAUUGAACCCACCACCGCAGCAACCACUUCAGCUGAACCUAUAACCACAACAGGAAACAAUACAACUUCCACAGAAUCUACCACAGCUGCCAUCAUUAUUUCCACAGAACCCAACAAAAUAGCAACCACCACUACUCCCAUUUAUCCCUUCACCACAGCAACCACCAUCACUUCUACAGAACACACUAUUACAACUACCAGUAUACAAUCCAUAGAAUUGCUUACCACAGCAACCAUCACUACUACUACUACAGAACACACAACCACUACUUCUUCUAGAGAACCAACCACCACAGCAAUCACAAGUUCAACUGA
rnacentral:lncRNA from 1 species